UUGGAGGGCAAGUCUGGUGCCAGCAGCCGCGGUAAUUCCAGCUCCGAUAGCGUAUAUUAAAGUUGUUGCAGUUAAAAAGCUCGUAGUUGAAUUUCGGGGUCAGUAGGUUGGUCAUGCCACUGGUAUGUACCGGUCUCACUGAUUCCUCCUUCCUGAUGAGCCGUAAUGCCAUUAAUUUGGUGUUGCGAGGAAUCUGGACUGUUACUUUGAAAAAAUUAGAGUGUUUAAAGCAAGCUAACGCUUGAAUACAUUAGCAUGGAAUAAUGAAAUAGGACGUUCGAUCCUAUUUUGUUGGUUUCUAGGAUUGACGUAAUGAUUAGUAGGGAUAGUUGGGGGCAUUAGUAUUCAAUUGUCAGAGGUGAAAUUCUUGGAUUUAUUGAAGACUAACUACUGCGAAAGCAUUUGCCAAGGAUGUUUUCAUUAAUCAAGAACGAAAGUUAGGGGAUCGAAGACGAUCAGAUACCGUCGUAGUCUUAACCAUAAACUAUGCCGACUAGGGAUCGGAUGAUGUUAAUUUUUUAAUGACUCAUUCGGCGCCUUACGGGAAACCAAAGUGUUUGGGUUC
rnacentral:rRNA from 1 species